UACGUAGGGGGCGAGCGUUGUCCGGAUUUAUUGGGCGUAAAGAGCGUGUAGGCGGCCUGGUAGGUCAGCUGUGAAAACUCGGGGCUCAACCCCGAGCCUGCAGUGGAUACGGGCUAGCUAGAGUUCGGUAGGGGAGACUGGAAUUCCUGGUGUAGCGGUGAAAUGCGCAGAUAUCAGGAAGAACACCCGUGGCGAAGGCGGCUCUCUGGGACGGUACUGACGCUGAGACGCGAAAGCGUGGGGAGCGAACAGG
rnacentral:rRNA from 1 species